rnacentral:rRNA from 1 species
CAGUAGCCGCGGUAAUGCGAAGGGGGCUAGCGUUGUUCGGAAUUACUGGGCGUAAAGCGCACGUAGGCGGAUAUUUAAGUCAGGGGUGAAAUCCCAGAGCUCAACUCUGGAACUGCCUUUGAUACUGGGUAUCUUGAGUAUGGAAGAGGUGAGUGGAAUUCCGAGUGUAGAGGUGAAAUUCGUAGAUAUUCGGAGGAACACCAGUGGCGAAGGCGGCUCACUGGUCCAUUACUGACGCUGAGGUGCGAAAGCGUGGGGAGCAAACAGGAUUAGAUACCCCCGUAGUCCCUGUCUCUUAUAU